ACGCAGAUCCCAGUAGGGUGGCCUUUUGCAGUUGGCAGAUUGUGAUUUUGUCAAUGUCUAUUGUUUCCAAAUGCUGGCUGAGAUCUUUUGGCACGGCACCCAAUGUGCUGAUCACAUCAACAUUAUUAUUAUUAUUAUUAUUAUUAUUAUUAUUAUUAUUAUUAUAUUAUUUUAUUAUGACACAGCAAACAAGAUAGAUAUGCUGGAUUUCGUAUCACAAAAUCACAAGUCGAACACUUCCCAAGCGUCUAGGACUGCGUGAUGUAUUUUCGGUUGAUGCACGCAGAUCCCAGUAAGGUGGCCUUUUGCAGAUGGCAGAUCGUGAUUUUGUCAAUGUCUAUAUUAUUAUUAUUAUUAUUAUUAUUAUUUCUUUGGAGUAGGUUAUCCCAAAAUCCAUUGUUAAAAUUAAAGCCCAAUGCUUUAUCUUUCUUAAAGCUUUCUUUAAUUUAUAUAUAUUGGUACCAGGAAACAUUUUUUUAUUAUCUUUUUGUAUUUCCUCUAAUUUGAGGUACAGUAGGGUCUCACUUAUCCAACACUCGCUUAUCCAAGUUUCUGGAUUAUCCAAGGAAUCAAUUUGUCAAUUUGUUGUAAAUUUGUUGUAAAAUGUGAUGUUUUUGUGCUUGAUAAAAUCAUAACAUAAUUUGAUGUUUAAUAGGUUUUUCCUUAAUCCCUCCUUAUUAUCCAACAUAUUCACUUAUCCAACGUCCUGCCGGCCCGUUUAUGUUGGAUAAGUGAGACUCUACGGUAUUAAAAUUAAAGCCCAAUGCUUUAUCUUUCUUCAAGCUUUCUUUAAUUUUUAUAUAUUGGUACUGUAUAUUGAUAAUCUUAUAUUUUCUGCUUAGAACUGGAUUAUAUGAGGCCCCUUCUACACAGCUGUAUAAAAUGCACACUGAAGUGGAUUAUAUGGCAGUGUGGACUCAAGAUAAUCAAGAUAAACUCUACUGUAUUAAAAUUAAAGCCCCAUGCUUUAUCUUUCUUAAAGCUUUAUUUACUUUGUAUAUAUUGGUACUGUAUAUUUAUAAUCUUAUAUUUUCUGCUUAGAACUGGAUUAUAUGAGGCCCCUUCUACACAGCUGUAUAAAAUGCAUACUGAAGUGGAUUAUAUGGCAGUGUGGACUCAAGAUAAUCAAGAUAAACUCUACGAACUGGAUUAUAUGGCAGUGUGGACUCAAGAUAAUCAAGAUAAACUCUACGGUAUUCAACUUAAAGCCCAAUGCUUUAUCUUUCUUCAAGCUUUCUUUAAUUUGUAUAUAUUGGUACUGUAUAUUGAUAAUCUUAUAUUUUCUCCUUAGAACUGGAUUAGAUGGCAGUGUGGACUCAAGAUAAUCAAGAUAAACUCUACGGUAUUAAAAAUAAAGCCCAUUGCUUUAUCUUUCUUCAAGCUUUCUUUAAUUUGUAUAUAUUGGUACUGUAUAUUGAUAAUCUUAUAUUUUCUGCUUAGAACUGGAUUAUAUGGCAGUGUGGACUCAAGAUAAUCAAGAUAAACUCUACGGUAUUCAACUUAAAGCCCAAUGCUUUAUCUUUCUUCAAGCUUUCUUUAAUUUGUAUAUAUUGGUACUGUAUAUUGAUAAUCUUAUAUUUUCUCCUUAGAACUGGAUUAGAUGGCAGUGUGGACUCAAGAUAAUCAAGAUAAACUCUACGGUAUUAAAAAUAAAGCCCAUUGCUUUAUCUUUCUUCAAGCUUUCUUUAAUUUGUAUAUAUUGGUACUGUAUAUUGAUAAUCUUAUAUUUUCUGCUUAGAACUGGAUUAUAUGGCAGUGUGGACUCAAGAUAAUCAAGAUAAACUCUACGGUAUUUAACUUAAAGCCCAAUGCUUUAUCUUUCUUCAAGCUUUCUUUAAUUUGUAUAUAUUGGUACUGUAUAUUGAUAAUCUUAUAUUUUCUCCUUAGAACUGGAUUAGAUGGCAGUGUGGACUCAAGAUAAUCAAGAUAAACUCUACGGUAUUAAAAAUAAAGCCCAUUGCUUUAUCUUUCUUCAAGCUUUCUUUAAUUUGUAUAUAUUGGUACUGUAUAUUGAUAAUCUUAUAUUUUCUGCUUAGAACUGGAUUAUAUGGCAGUGUGGACUCAAGAUAAUCAAGAUAAACUACGGUAUUUAACUUAAAGCCCAAUGCUUUAUCUUUCUUCAAGCUUUCUUUAAUUUGUAUAUAUUGGUACUGUAUAUUGAUAAUCUUAUAUUUUCUCCUUAGAACUGGAUUAGAUGGCAGUGUGGACUCAAGAUAAUCAAGAUAAACUCUACUGUAUUAAAAAUAAAGCCCAAUGCUUUAUCUUUCUUCAAGCUUUCUUUAAUUUGUAUAUAUUGGUACCAGGAAACAUUUUUUUAUUAUCUUUUUUGUAUUUCUUCUAAUUUGAGGUACAUCUUGGUUUAUAUUUGGCCUCCUUAAGAUUUCUUUUUUAGGUCGGCCAGUUGGUCCAACCCAGGAGCCUUCUCUGGUUAGUUUAGAGGCGAAAGACAUAAUGGAGGGUUUUUUAAAUAUUUAUAUAUAGUUUUAUUAUGAUUUUAAACGGCCCACCUGCGCAGAUUUGGUCCCAGAGGCUUGGAGGCGGGAGCGGACCUUCAACAGCAGCAGUAACAGCAGCCAUUUGUGAGGGGUUGCUAGGCAACCGCGGAGAAGCUACUUCCGUUUCCGGCCCUGGCGCGCCUGAGGCGAAGUUAUUUUCCUCAGGCGGGAAAACGGGGACCAUUUUGGAGGUUGCACCUUCUUUCACCUUUUUUCCUCACGUUUUGGACGAAGCAGAAGCUGAGAUUGACAGAACAAGAUUGACAGCGGCAGGCAUUUUGGCCAGUGGGGCACAGCAGCGUUUGGGAGUUCAGAGCGGAAAGACAAGUUCCUGAGGUUCCUGGGAGGGUUCAAGAGGAGUUCUUCUGCGUCGGUGGCACAAGGUCUUCCCGCCCAUGCGCCAAAACCGAACAUGGCUUUGGACUGGAAGAAGGAACAAAGCCUCCAGCGAGACCUGCAAACCGAGUUUGAGACGGCAGUAAAUCGGAAACACCAGGGAAACAUCGGGCUUGGAUUUCAACUUGCUGCCCGGAAACUCAUGCAGAUAGAUAAAUAUGCCUCAAAAUCUAUCAAAUUUGAAGACUGAGCUAUUUGGGAAGGAAAGACAUGAUUCCCAAGACUGUGAUAGAUUUUCUUAUUUACAUGUUAUUAUCGGACACUCACAAAAUGCCUUUUUGGGCAGCCCAGACACAAGGAUCGGAACUGUCUUGUGCUCUUGUCCAAAAUAAUAACAAUGCCAUAGUUUUUAACGUUGUUUCACCUUGUUUUCUCAUGUAACAUUUAAAUCUGAUACAGUCUUUAUAUACAUACUAUUUUGGGGACCCAGCAUUGCCCAGCUUAUUUGAGAAGGGCCGUGCUUGUUUGUGGAUGUUAGGUAAUAGCAGUUUGGUCAUAUGUUAUGCUAUGCCUUAGAAAAAACUCAGUAUUUCCUGUUGUUUUUUUAUGAAUGCUCCCAGUAGAAAAUGCAUAAGGAUGUGGGUGAACUACAAUUCCCAAAAAUCUUGGGUCACACCUCCCAAAACUCCCCCAGUAUUAACAGUUGUCCAUGUUGGGUCUGUGUCCCAAGUUUGGUCCAGAUCAGUCAUAUGCUAGGUUCAGUGUUCUCUGGAUAAGGAUGAACUACAACUCCCAGAUUCCCAGAGCAAUCACCCUGAAACUGUGCGAAUAUUCAGAGUUGGCCAUGUUGAAGAAUCCUCCACCUUGUGCAAUUGAACAAAACAAACAAUUUCGCAUCUGUAUGCUUGCCCACAAUGCCCUGCCUCAUGCACAAAGGAAGAACUGUUUCAAGCUACAGACAAUGCAGUCACUGUUGCCCGUUUUUGGUCUGAAACUAUUUAGCUGCUUGUGAUCUCUUUAUCAGUUUUAAACAGUUUUAUGCAGUGCUUUUGACACAAAAUAAAUAGGUUUUAUGUUGCAGAGAA